CAGUCGCCGCGGUAAUACGAGGGGGGCAAGCGUUGUUCGGAAUUAUUGGGCGUAAAGGGUGCGUAGGCGGUUUGACAAGUCUCAUGUGAAAUCUUCGGGCUCAACUCGAAGUCUGCAUGGGAAACUGUCGGGCUUGAGUAUGGGAGAGGUGAGUGGAAUUUCCGGUGUAGCGGUGAAAUGCGUAGAUAUCGGAAGGAACACCUGUGGCGAAAGCGGCUCACUGGACCAUAACUGACGCUGAGGCACGAAAGCUAGGGGAGCAAACAGGAUUAGAUACCCCGGUAGUCCCUGUCUCUUAUAU
rnacentral:rRNA from 1 species